GAUGAACGCUGGCGGCGUGCCUUAGGCAUGCAAGUAGAACGAGAACUAGUAGCAAUACUAGUUAGAGUUGCGAACGGCUGAGUAACACGUAAGAACCUGCCUCUUGGAGGGGAAUACCUCGUCGAAAGACGGGUUAAUACCGCAUAAGAUCGUAAGAUGAAAGCUUUUGUAGUAAUACAACGGCGCCGAGAGAGGGGCUUGCGGCCCAUCAGCUAGUUGGUAGGGUAAAAGCCUACCAAGGCUACGACGGGUAGGGGCGUGAGAGCGCGUUCCCCCAGAAUGGCACUGAGAUACGGGCCAUACACCUACGGGUGGCAGCAACCGGGAAUUGUACGCAAUGGACGAAAGUCUGACGUCGCGACGCCGCGUGAGGGAUGAAGGCCUUAGGGUUGUAAACCUCUUUUGCCGAGUGGGAGACCACUCGGAGAAUAAGUACUUGCUAACUCUGUGCCAGCAGCCGCGGUAAU
rnacentral:rRNA from 1 species